UUUUACAAAUAUCAAUUUGACUUGUCUCUCUUUCUUUGUGAAUUUUAACCAUUGUAUAGCAAUAUUCCAUUUCCAGAAUCGGCUUUGUAAGUGACAUAUAAAUAAAGUAAUGACCUUGGUGUUUAGCAUUGCAGCCUUUUAAAAAUUGUCAGACGAACUAGGAAAUACCGUCCGUAAUGCCUAUCAAAUGUUUACACCGCACGCAGCAUGGUGUAUUUUAAUCCGGAGUAACAUACUUUCGUUUCACGAACUUUGAUUUUUUAAAAACACAUGAAGUUCAUUCAGUACACUAUAGUAACUGGCGUGACUGUCCAUUUGCACUACGUAAAAAAAUCAAAGAUAACGAACAGUGAUUAAUCUCGUAAGUCCUAUAAGGAAUACAAAAUUAGGAAUUAAGCAAACACGGAUACCUGGACAUAUAUCAAAAGGACAGAAUAUGGUAAGUGUAUUGUCGUGCAUUCAUCUUAUAAUUUUUAUAAUUGCAUUUCAUUCGGGUUUUUUUAUGCACUGACAAAUGUAUCAGGUUUGGAAUAGCUGAAUCAAUUGUUCAUUGUUUGUAUUGUUUUUAUAAUCAUAUUCUCACACUUGAUUUUAGUGCACUGACCAUUAGCUCGCAUCUGCUGUUUAUGUUAAAGUCAAAUUUGCUGCGUUAUGUUUAUUUAACUUGGGUAGGGUCUGCAUUUUGAUAUUUAUCUUAAUUAUGAACCAAUGCGGGUUCCUGUGUAAGUUUGGCUAUUUAUGUGUGCUUUACACGUACACAAUUCAUUCCUGUAAAAGACUCUCGAUCAACUAUACAAACGUUAAAAUUUAGGAAAACAUUGGCCGAUCACGAUGUAAGUUUUACAAGUUCUAAUAUCUUUAUUUUUUAGAGCUGCAAUUUAAAUACCAGUGUAAAGUUCAUGUGUACUUUAAGCUUUUUACCAUAUACGCACACACAUACGUAUACACACAUACGUAUACCCACUAAAACAGGGACACACACGCGCUAUUUAGGAUCCGCUCCUAUAUGUGAACUGUUUGUGGCAAAUAAACUGCAAAGUUCUGGUUAUCUCACUGUAAUCCGUGUUGUGUUUUUAAUAAAAGUGACAUGGAAGGCAGUACAGUAAGCUUGCUUGUAGGUCCCUUCAUGUCAAAAGCUAAUAAUUAUGUGAUAAAAUUUAAAGAAAACUGAUGGAAAUUUGAGUUCAUUUUCACAAUUUACAGUUGAAUUUAGAACAAAAACCUUAUUCGUGCUUUACAGUAUAAAUGGUAGUUAAGUCACCUUGUUUACUGAGAAAUGCAUACAAUACGAAAAGUUGACAUCUUUUGUAGCCAUUACCACCGUUUGAUAUUUACACGCCGUAAACAUAUGAUCAGUGAAAUAUAUAUCUCGUUCAAAAAGUCGCAGGGACAUAGCCAGCGUAUUAACAUUUCACGAAACACACAUUUCUCCCCAUAACUUUUGUCUCGCCUUCGUUUAUUUUCAGAUUCAUAUUUGAGCUAGGAAAUAGUUUUUUAUUAUUAUAUAUCAGCAGCGAUUGACACCAUACUCAAAUGUGGAUUUUUCGAGACGUUUAAUCCCAUGUCAUGUGCAGCUUAUAAGUUGUAUAUUAAUUAUAUUUUUGUGCAACUGUUAAAUGACUUUAUCUGUAUUUUGAGUGUCUGCAAUGCACAUUGUUAUACCCCUAUAAAACAGUUCCUAUAUAACUCCUUACAAAAAUAAGUCCAACAUUUCGACUUUUCUGGCGACUGUUGGACCGGGAACUGUUAAAAUCGACUGUUAUAAAAUAAAUUCCUUAUAAACAAGCAUAAAAUCAUGAUUAUAGUACAUUGACUCUUGUGUGUUUCAAUCUGUUAGACUUUCCAAUUUUAUUGCAUUUCUUGGAAGUUGUGUUAAAAGAAUUGGUGGUCUUGGAAAAAGGUUGUUGUAGUGAACAGCAAAGGUCAACUGCUAUUCAACAGUCUGUAUACCUAGUCACCAAGGGCAAGGGUAGAGGUCAUGUGGUUCUGCAUUUCAUAGGGCCAGUUAAGGGGCUAAAAGAAUAUAGUGUUAAUGAUAAUUAUUUCCAUGAAUAAUGAGAGACAUCUCCCAUCUCUUGUUAUAGUGUUCUUCUUUAAAGAUUUUGUGGGAGAUGAGAAAUACUUUAUUUGAUGCACAGACACCAAAUUAAAAGUGGAGCUUGUUGAUCCUAAGUGACAUCCCUGCCAUUAUCUUCAAUGCAGUCUUUCAUGUGUCUUAGGCCACUAAUAAAAUGUGUUGUGUUUCCGCUAACCCGACCGACCCUAAAUUAUAGCCCCGACCCUAGAUUUUUUUUUCGAUAUUUAAAAAAAAAAAUCGUCAUUUUCCCGGAAAAAAUAUAUUCCCGGUUCUUGGUUUUCGGUUUAGUUAGACAUUGAGAUGAAGUCAUUCAAACGCUUUAAUGAUAUACAAAAUUGCAUGGUAUUGUGUCAAGCGUUUAAACAACAUUGAUAAUGUUUCUAACUAACAGCAUGGAUGUUGGUUGACCCAGUGGCUAGUACCUCCAUGCGUGCUCACGCAACGAUGAUUUAACAAUUGAAGUUAACAGACGGUCGAGAGACUCUGCCAAGUGUUAUGUUUUCAUAGAAGACUUUCUUUUGUUAAAAUUGCCAACUCCUAUGUUGUUUUUAGACGGUGACUAUUUAUAGCCAUGCACUGUCUUAUGCUAUCAUUUCAACGGCCAUUAGACGGGGACCCUAGUUUUAUAUGGAGGUCAUGAUGCAGAUUGACAGACAUGAAUGUCCAGUCUGUCAAAUUUGUAUGCACAUCCUUGGUUUCUGCUGCAGUUCUAACUGAAAACACUAUGAAAAGGGCCGCAAAUAAAGCAGUGAGCUCAUCCGAGUUGUUGAUGGCUGAUGAGAGCCGAGAGGAAAAAAAGAUGUGCAGAUUGUUUUUAAAAUAAAAAUUUAUGUCCGGUAAAAAGUUUUAGCUGUAAGAGAGUUGGAUCCCAUUAGGAUAAGUGGGAUCUGCCCAGACUGUCUUCCUACCCUUGUUCCAUUUAGAUUGUGAAAAUACAUUCAGAAAUGUAUUAAUAAACUUAAAAUAUGUUAAUGAUGUUGAUAUUUUGGUGAUGAUUUAAUAUAUUUUUUCAAAACCAUCACAUUAUUUUCCUGUCAAACAUAUCCAAUAGAAGAUUCCUAUGACAACCAAUCUAAAUGUAGAAACAAUAUAUCUGGUACUUGUAGAGCAUAGUGGCAUAGAGGAGUUAACUUUUGUGUUUUAUGCUAGAUAUGUUUCAUUGAAAAAUAUAGUUUCUUAUAAAACAUCUGGAAAUAAUCCUCAGCCAAUAAUGGGUGAAAUGUUAUGAUUGAAAGUUUACUUGCAAUGCAAUUUAAGCACAAUUUUAUUUUGAAAGUAUAAAAUUCAAUAGAACAUUUAACUUGUGCAGUAAUUAGGGCUAUACGGACCGUGGAUAUCGGCCUGGAUAGCUCAGUGGUUAGAGCACCUGACUAGAAAUGCAGGGGUCCAGCCAAAGAUUUUCUCCUUCCCAUACUACAUUUGGUGCCGUUGACCACCCCUAAUGGUGCAGGUUGGCCUGUCAGGGGCGAAAGAACCUGGGUUGAUAUAUUUAUACUAACAACUCAACUGUAUGACAAACGGGAUGAUUUCAGCUUCUCCAUCGUCAACUUCCCACAUUUAUGUAGCAAUAUUCCAUUAUCACCUGCAUAUGGUGUUUAUAUAUCUCAACUGAUUCGAUAUGCAAGAGCUUGUUCUGGGUAUAGUCAGUUUUUAAAUCGAGGUAAGCUACUGACAAACAAGUUGAUGGUACAGGGAUUUCAACAGUCUCGAUUGAAGUCAGCAUUUCGCAAAUUCUAUGGUCGUUAUAACGAUCUAGUUCGUCAGUACAAUCUCGCAUUGGGUCAAAUGCUGUCUGACGUGUUUCAUACCGAUUGUUAAGCCGUUCUUGGCACACUGAUUUUGACUGCGGAUAACUCCGUUUACCUGAUUAGGAUAUGGGGCUCACGGCGGGUGUGACCGGUCAACAGGGGAUGCUUACUCCUCCUUGGCACCUGAUCCCACCUCUGGUGUGUCCAGGGGUCCGUGUUUGCCCAACUAUCUAUUUUGUAUUGCUUGUAGGAGUUAUGAGAUUGAUCACUGUUCGUUAUCUUCACCUUGCAUAUUGAAAGACAAUUAUAAAAUUAUAAUUGAUCUUAAGGAAGGAGGAAUGUAGUAAUUGGGGCUAUACGGACUGGAUAUCGGCCUGGAUAGCUCAGUGGUUAGAGCACCUGCCUAGUAAUGCAGGGGUCCCGGGUUCGAUUCCCGGUCCAGCCAAAGAUUUUCUCCUCCUUCCUAUGCUACACUUGUUAGAGUUUACAAUGUUUUUGCAUACUUUGAAAAAAUAAAAUUUAAAAAAAAAAAAAAAAUUAUUUCCUACCUACCUACCCUAUUUUUUUCUGGAACGUUAGCGGAAACUCAACAAUUUUUAUCGUUGGCCUUAUAAAGGUUUGCAAACACUAGUGCUUGCAUAAUGCACAGACACGUGAAGUGGGUAGUGUACGUGUACAGAUGUUGUGUACACACCACCACCCCUCCACUGUCUACAAAAUAUAUACCUGUAGAACCAGUAAUAUCCACAGGCACCUGAAGUAUGGAUAUUACUACCCCCCCCUUUUUUUCAUAAUUUUUUUUUGGUGGCAAUAAUUUCUCUGAAAUGUAUGAAUUCCCAGUCUAUCUCAUCCCUCUUUCGAUUCAUGUAAUCGUUUCACGCUUUUUGUAAGCUUUAAAGAUUGGCCUUCUACCGGUAUAAUAAAAUACACAAGGUAAGAAACAAAAAUUUGUAAACAAACAGGGGGUCCCCGUUUCCGGGCACAUUUUCCAAGUAAUUACAGCGUUACCUAAGGAAUUUUGACGAGCGGCAGGUCGGGGAGAUGUCAUACUACAAGUCUCUUCAACUCAAAACCCAUCUCAUCUCUUUUAUUUGACACAAUCUUGCGUGAAUUGAUCGGACAGGGCUUCAUCUCUUCCACUGGCAGCCAAAAAGGAGGUCACAGAGUACGAAUUUAUAACGUGUCGUGUGAUUGGUCCUCGAAUAAUCCCGAGACCCUUUGGAUGAUCCCGAGACUAAGCAAUGUCUUUGCGAACAAAAUGGGAUACAAUGUCCCAUAGGAGGAAAUGUCCCAUAAUGAACAUGAAAUGGCAGUGAAUAUCCUAUUUGAGCAUGAAUGGGAAUAAAUAUCCCAAAUAAAACACAGGAUGGGGACUUUUAUCCCAUGAAUAUAGUAAUAAAGCAGAAAAUUGUAUCUUAAAGAGUGUUGUUUGUCAUGAUUCUUAAGAAUGUUCUUGCAAGCUAAGGAAUGACAUUAACUUUAUAUCUAGUAAUUACACUCCUAAAUUAUGUAGACCUAUGUACAUGUGUUAAUGGAUAAAUGUCUAAACAACAUGAGAAAUUAAAUUAUAUUAGAGCUCUGCAUUACUAAACUCUUUCCCAUGCAAUUUUAAUUGUAUACAUAUAACCCUAUCACAAAAACAUUAGAAUAAAAUUGAACGGUAUUAAAUUAUGCAGUUAGAACACUAACUUAUUUACAUGCAGCUGUUCACAUUCACUAUUUACAACCCUUUACAGGUCGUCAGGUGUGAAUAUUCACAGGAACCGGUAUUUUUGUCUGUAAUAAUAAUAGUAGGCCCUAUGGUACCGUCCCCAAUGAAAAAAAUAACCCCAAAGGAAUGGCACCAUUUCUUACUCAAAACUUCGCUUCAAAAUAAUUCGAAAAUUCUGCUUUUAUCGUCCCCACCCCAAUUGUCAUUCUGAUUCAGUAAUUUCAUUUUUUUAAAUGUUAAACAUGAAAAGUAUAACUGAAUCUGUGUUCACAGCCAAAAUUUUAACCUUCUGGAUGCAGGAAUAAAA